GUUCAGAAAGAACUCUCAUCAGAGUAUGUGACAAUAGUUUAACCCACUAAAGAUAAAACUGUAUUUUGGACUGAAUUUAGUUGUGCUAUGAAAGGAAAGGGUAUUGGCAGAUUUAGAAAGAUUUCCAACAAGCUGGGAGGAAAAUGAAGGGAAAUGAAAUUUUUGUGAUCAUUCUAUACUCCAGAUAUUUUUCUGUAAUUUUAUUCUGCUAGCACUCCUGAACGCAAAUAACAUGUGACAGAAGCAAUCAAGAUUGUUGAAAAUUGUUCUGAAAAGAAGUCUGUUGAGUCCUAGAGGACAUUUCCAUGUGGUAGGCCAUACUUCAUCAUUCCGUUCCAACUAAAGCAAAUGUCAUAAUCUUGCAUGGCCCCUUUUUUGAUGGGGAUUGCACAGAAUCUGUAGAUAACUGUUUGUAAUAUGGUCAUUUUAAUAAUAUUAAUUCUGCCUAUCCAAGAGCAUGAGAGAUCUUUCCAUCUUCUAGUGUCUUCCUCUGUUUUUUCAUUAUUCUGUAAUUUUCAUAGUGGAGGUCUUUCAUCUCUUUGAUUAAAUUUAUUCCUAGUGUUUUUUAUUUGUGUGUGUUGGGGGGGAGUGGCUAUUAUGAAUGGAAUUGUUUUCCUGAUUGUUUCUCAGCAGAUUCAAUAUUAGUGUAUAGAAAAGCUAUUGAUUUUUUUCAUGUUGAUUUGUAUACUGCUUCUUUGCUGAAUUUAUCAGCUUUACAAGUUUUCUGGUGGAGCUUUGGGAAUUAAGCAUAUGAUCUUAUCAUUUGCAAAUGAUAAGAGCCAUAACUUGACUUACUCCUUUCCUAUUUGUGUCCCUUUUCCUUCUCUUGCCUAAUUGCUCUGGCUGAACUUUCAAGUAUUAUAUUGAAUAGGAGAGGUAAGAUUGGACAUCUGUCUUGUUUCUGAUUUUAGAGGAAAAGCUUUCAGUUUUUCCCUAUUCAGUAUGAUAUUGGCUUUGGGUUUGUCAUAGAUAGUCUUCAUGAUAUUGUGGUAAGUUCCUUCAAUCCCUACUUUCUUCAGGGUUGACUAUCCAAAAUCAUGAAUGAGUAAUGAAUUUGUUUUAUCUGUAUCUAUUGAAAUGAUCAUGUGAUUUUUUUUGUCCUUGGUACUAUUUAUGU
rnacentral:lncRNA from 1 species